rnacentral:rRNA from 1 species
GUUUAGAAGGUUUUGGAUUAGGAGUUUGUGCAGGUGCGGCGGCGGCGGUGGUUGGUGAACUGGCGUCGCGGCCGAAGGAGGGCCUUGUGUCAGCGGCGACUGGCGGCAGGAGAUGGUUACUUUGGGAAGCGACGAUGGAGGGGUAGGGGGCGACGUGGGUCGCGAACGAAGGAGGUUCCUUGCGACGGCUGGCGGGAGGUAGGGGUUUUGUCGGUUCCAUAGGAGGCGACUCGUCCGGAGGAGGAGUUCUAAAGAGGGGGCUCAUCCCGGAGGAGGAGGAGGUGCUCGUAGGAAGGGGUUCGUGAUUCGACCCGGCGGAGGACAGAGGGAGUGGGCUCGUGGCCUGGAAGGACAUGCUGGCGAGAGGGCUCUUCGAGGUCGAGGAGAUGUAGGAGAGGGUCCCCGUCGCGGCGGAGGAACGGAUGGCUCUCGUGAACCGGCCCGUCGUAGUACCUACGAGAUCUCUUAAGUCCCCGGUCGAUUCACUUCCCGACUAGAUGUUGUAACACGGUAAGUUAGAGUAACUCGUACUUUUCUGUAAGUCUAACCAUCAUAAAC